rnacentral:rRNA from 1 species
GACAGAGGUGCCAAGCGUUAGGCGGAAUCACUGGGCUUAAAGCGUGUGUAGGCGGACUUCUAAGUACCUUGUGAAAUCCCACGCCUCACCCGUGGAACUGCUUGGUAUACUGGUUGUCUUGAGCCACUUAGGGGCUACCGGAACAAAUGGUGGAGCGGUGAAAUGCGUAGAUAUCAUUUGGAACGCCAAUGGUGAAAACAGGUAGCUGGGAGUGUGCUGACGCUGAGACACGAAAGCCAGGGGAGCGAACGGG